rnacentral:rRNA from 1 species
AUGUCAGAAAUAGCGAUGCCUUUUCUUUCUAGAUUCACUAACUGUCAUUUCUUGUUUCUUCAAGCAAGUGUCAAGGAUAUAUACUUACUUUGUGAGGUCGGUGCACAUGAGAACCUUGUACGUGUCAAGGUGCUUGAACACCCUGAAGAAGAUGGCGGUGUGCUCCUUCAGGUCGCCGGAGGCCAUGACGAGGAGCCCGAACGGGCCGACUCCGCCCGGCAAGGACGCGCCCUUCUCGGCGCACAGCCCCUUAGGAUCCUGCAGCCACUUCGGGUCCAACGUCUCGGCAUCCUCCAGGUUCGGGACCUCGAAGACCGCCUGCACGUCCGCCUGCGAGCUCACGAUGCCGGCGAUCUCCUUCCUGCCGCCGGCCUCCACCUCCGUCGCCCACUGCAGGCCGACCCGCUUCCUCCUCAGCGUCUCGAUCUCUUCGACUGGCCACUGCACCAGCCGCUUCCCGUCGGUGUCCAGCCACAUCGCCCUCGGGAACGCCUGGAUGCCGGCCCACCCUCUGCCUUCACCGCCGCCGUCGGUCUCGUCCACCCACGCCCACAGCACGCGCCGCUUCUUGCGGGCGUCGUAGAAGGACUUGGAUGCGUACAGGUGGCCGUGGUCGAGCCGGCGCCAGUUGGCGCAGUCGCCGCCGCGCUCGGGCUCUGCCGGCGCGAAGGUGUCCUCCUCGUCGUCGUACCGCCCGACCAUGUAGUGGUCCUCCUUGGCGAAGUCGCUGAGCUUGAGCACGUGCAGCACCCCGGCGCGGCUCGCCGACACGUCGAGACCCUCCAUCGCGCCGGGUGCCGCCAUCGGGAACAGGUCCGGGCACUCCAGCACGGCGGGGCCGUCCCCGUCACGCGAGCUGGCGACGUGCAGAGGCGGGCCGGGGUUGCGCUCCCAGUGUAG